rnacentral:tRNA from 1 species
GAUUAGCUCAGCGGUAGAGUAGAUGACUGUUAAUCAUUUGGUCGCUGGUUCGAAUCCAGCAU